CCCCGCAAGGGAUUAGUAGAGUGGCAAACGGGUGAGUAACACGUGGGUGACCUGCCUUCGAGCGGGGGAUAACGUCCCGAAAGGGACGCUAAUACCGCAUAACAUGCCGCCUUUUAACAGGUGGACAUCGAAGCUGGGGAUCGCAAGACCUAGCACUUGAAGAGGGGCCCGCGCCUGAUUAGCUAGUUGGUGGGGUAAUGGCUCACCAAGGCAACGAUCAGUAUCCGGCCUGAGAGGGCGGACGGACACACUGGGACUGAGACACGGCCCAGACUCCUACGGGAGGCAGCAGUGGGGAAUUGUUCGCAAUGGGCGCAAGCCUGACGACGCAACGCCGCGUGGAGGAUGAAGACCUUCGGG
rnacentral:rRNA from 1 species